rnacentral:sRNA from 1 species
ACACACUUUUGAUUGUCACUCGAUAUUAUUUGCCAGGGGGACGAAAUCGUCGGGAAAAUAAAAAAUACCACUUGUUUCAAACUGGGACGUUUUAAAUACAGGCGACCCUUUGCCAGCAAUGAGCCAGUUGAGGAUGUCCGGAAGUGGCUUUUGGCAGUAAGGAAACCUGCCAACUGGCUGGUGAACCCAGCAAAGCUCCAGCCAGUGAGUCCACUUGGCAUACCAUUUUGGAGCCGUCUGUUCUGUAACCCCAGCAUACAGCACACCAGCAACAUUCAUUGGGCUGAGGGGGAGUAGUUCUGCGCAAGGUACGGAGAACCACCAGAAUUUAUAAGUACCCAG